AACAUGGGUCUAUGCGCCUGGACAAUUUCAAAAUUCCCUGUUUUGUAGUAUUCUCCCCAUUAGGCAGGUAAUUGGUUUUCAAAACUUCAGAAUACCCUUCAGAAACAUUAAGUUCCUUUGAUGAUGAAUUGUGAGCUUCUUGCUUAUUUUCUAGCAACACUGACGAGCCUUGGGAUGAGUUGCUGGCUUUGACAGAGUACAAGGAGUGUAAUCUUCUUAAAAGUCCCUGCCGUCCUUCCUCAGGCAUUGCUUCUUUCUCAACCCAAGCAAUUGCACAGUCAAGAUCUUUCAAAGUUUUACCAAGAAGUGUGACAGCAUAGAUUUCAACAACCUCCAUAUACUCAUCAACUCCUAAAACAUUCCUUUCAUCACAUCCUUUC
rnacentral:misc_RNA from 1 species